rnacentral:rRNA from 1 species
UACAGAGGGUGCGAGCGUUGUCCGGAAUCACUGGGCGUAAAGGGCGCGUAGGUGGUGGCUUAAGCGUGCGGUGAAAGCUCGGGGCUCAACCCCGAGUCGGCCGGUGCGAACGUGGGCUCACGUGGGCAUAGUAGAGGCAGGUGGAAUUCCGGGUGGUAGCGGUGGAAUGGCGUAGAGAUCCGGAAGAACACCGGUGGCGAAGGCGGCCUGCUGGGCUGAUGG